CCUUGUAUCAACAUAACGGGAUUGCCAAAGAAAAAGUUUUGGGCGGAGGGAGGAGGGGCUCAGGAAUGCUGGGUAAAGCCGAGCUUGGGGUAGAGCUGCCAUUAAAAACAAGACCUCUCUUUCCCUGGAACUGCUUGGAUCUCAGAGAACACAGAUGAUUGGUUCUGCAGGAAAGAGGCCUCUGGCCACCAACAGGCAAACAGAAGCUUCUCUGUUCCCUUACCCUAUCCCAAGAUUCCAUCUCAUGAAUCAAUGCCAAGGCAUGGAACACCAACAUUGUGC